rnacentral:misc_RNA from 1 species
UUUCCGUAGGUGAACCUGCGGAAGGAUCAUUAAAGAAUUCGCCCCGUGCUCUCGUGGAUGGGUCCUCUUCUAAACCGUGUAUACAUACCUUUGUUGCUUUGGCGGGCCGCCGUCUCGGCGUUGGCUUCGGCUGACUGUGCCCGCCAAAGAACCCCACCUCUUCUGUUUAGUAUAGUCUGUGUACUAUCUAAUAGUUAAAACUUUCAACAACGGAUCUCUUGGUUCUG